GUAACCUGUUAUGUAAACAUACGGCACUCGCUCAACUUGAAGUAUUUCCGGGGUAUUCCACUUUGAACGUUUCCUUCUCUCCAACAAUCUCGUGAUAUACCUCCUGUCUCAGCAGCUCUCUGCCUUGAAAAGUUCUGGACCAUAUGAGUUUUUGACCAAUGGAAGCUGAGCUUUUGACCCUGCAGUGCGACUGAUCCCUAUCAGGUACAAGUAACAUUCCCAUGAUGCACUGCUGCACAACUCUAAUAGGAAGAGUGGAGAACCAGUCUAUCAGCUAAGGAGAACCAAACCUGAGAAAAAAAGACAAAAAAGA